AUUGCAAUUUCUCAAAAUCCCUAUUAGGGAUUGAAAC
rfam:Nostoc punctiforme PCC 73102, complete genome.